GUGUAGGUCCUGUUGUUGUCCAAUAGAGACAUAUCACCUGGAACCAUAAAUAUCUAGUGGUGAUACUGUUGAAACUUGAAACUGGAGCGAGUUAUUUGGUGUGGCUCAACAUGUCAUAGCAAUAUGGUGCCUAGAGCAGCUUAUCUUCUUAUGUCUUAUUACUUGGCACAAACCAAACUUUAUUAUAUUAAGUAUUCACGUUUCUAAAGACAAAUUGUUUCGUAUUCUGCUUCCGUGGGUUUCAUUGUAUAUGCUUGCCGUGUGUGUUAAAAAUUCAGUUAAAAAUAGAAAAUUUAGGCACAUGUCAUGUUUCGAAUCUCGCAACGUGCAAUUUGAAUUAUUGUCGUCCUUUUUAUCUCUUCUAGAUAUUCUUUUGUGGAAAUCUCUUCUAGAUUUUAGAUUCAUCAACAAGGGUAUCAUUUCCAACCUUCAAUGUCCUAGCAGGAGAUCACUUCCUUUUUUUGCGUAUGUCCUUCCUUAUCUUUUCCAUCCUUAAAUUAUAAGAUACGUAGCAGCGCGCACAUGUAUAUAGAAAUAUUGUCCUUCUUUAUUUCUCUUGUGAAGAGCCUCUGGUUCCUUCCUUAUUUAUCAUGAUCUCUGAGAGACUUUCUGAUACCCAGGAAAUUAAUGAUCUAUAUAAAUAAGAUAGAUUGGAUGUAAAUCAGCAAGGUGGGACUAUUCAAUAUCGGCCUCAACCUUCCCUUGUAGACACAGGACGUUAGCUUAGUUGGCCUUAAUUUUUGCCUCUUAACCGGGAUAGAUGGGCCUCAACUUUCCCUUGUACACACAGGACGUUAGCUUAGUUGGCCUUGAUUUUUGCCUCUUAACCGGGAUAGAUGGGCCGGAUUUUCUGGACCAUGACACAUGGGUUGGUUCGUUCUCUCGGCCUCACUUGCUGACGAAGGAAACUGACGUACGAAAUAGCGGACGGACGAAACGGACGAAAAUCAGGGCGUAAGAAGCAUUUCGUGCUUUAUUACUAGGUAAAGAUGUGUAGGUCUUGUUGUUGUCCAAUAGAGACAUAUCACCUGGAACCAUAAAUAUCUAGUGGUGAUACUGUUGAAACUUGAAACUGGAGCGAGUUAUUUGGUGUGGCUCAACAUGUCAUAGCAAUAUGGUGCCUAGAGCAGCUUAUCUUCUUAUGUCUUAUUAUUUGGCACAAACCAAACUUUAUUAUAUUAAGUAUGCACGUUUAUAAAGACAAAUUGUUUCGUAUUCUGCUUCCGUGGGAGU
rnacentral:lncRNA from 1 species